AACGAACGCUGGCGGCAGGCUUAACACAUGCAAGUCGAACGGUUGCAGCAAUGCAGCAGUGGCAGACGGGUGAGUAACACGUGGGAACCUUCCUAGGGGUACGGAACAACUCAGGGAAACUUGAGCUAAUACCGUAUACGUCCGUGAGGAGAAAGAUUUAUCGCCCUUAGACGGGCCCGCGUCGGAUUAGCUAGUUGGUGGGGUAACGGCCUACCAAGGCGACGAUCCGUAGCUGAUCUUAGAGGAUGAUCAGCCACACUGGGACUGAGACACGGCCCAGACUCCUACGGGAGGCAGCAGUGGGGAAUAUUGGACAAUGGGCGCAAGCCUGAUCCAGCCAUGCCGCGUGAGUGAUGAAGGCCCUAGGGUUGUAAAGCUCUUUCGCCAGGGACGAUAAUGACGGUACCUGGAUAAGAAGCCCCGGCUAACUUCGUGCCAGCAGCCGCAGUAA
rnacentral:rRNA from 1 species